CCUACGGGAGGCAGCAGUGGGGAAUAUUGCGCAAUGGGCGAAAGCCUGACGCAGCAACGCCGCGUGAGUGAUGAAGGCCUUCGGGUUGUAAAGCUCUUUCGGUUGGGAAGAAGGGUGUGCGUACUAAUAAUGCGUACAUUUGAUGGUACCAAAAGAAGAAGCACCGGCUAACUUCGUGCCAGCAGCCGCGGUAAUACGAAGGGUGCGAGCGUUGUUCGGAAUGACUGGGCGUAAAGGGUUCGUAGGCGGGAGUGCAAGUCAAGUGUGAAAUCCCCAGGCUUAACCUGGGACGUGCACUUGAAACUGCAUUUCUUGAGUCGAGGAGAGGGUGAUGGAAUUGCUGGUGUAGGAGUGACAUCCGUAGAGAUCAGCAGGAACACCGGAGGCGAAGGCGAUCACCUGGCCGAAGACUGACGCUGAGGAACGAAAGCGUGGGGAGCAAACAGGAUUAGAUACCCUAGUAGUC
rnacentral:rRNA from 1 species